UCUCUAAACCAAUGAAUCUCAUAAUAAAAUAAUAAACUGACUUUCGGACCAAUUGAACUAGCCCGCAUCAUCAUGUGUCGAUUGGACAGUAAGGCCCCGUCUCUGAUAUGGCCGAGAUCUUUGUCGUGCUGACACCGGAAAAGGUAGCAACGGCUAUGGGCAUUUAGCACCUGUCUCAGCCUGUCUGUCUCCACCUUUAAUGUUUCCUCUUGGGUUUUGACAACCCAACUACAAAAAAUUUCUCUGGGGCUUUCGCAUAUAGAAGGAUCUUGCUCAUCAUUCUGUGUCUUUGAGAUAUUCAUGCCUGCAUGGCAGGCAGAAGAUGACUAUCUUGCAAUACCUGAUGCUCUCGUAGAGAAAAAGAUGGCCUUCUGGGAUUGAGAGGACUGAAGUCAGGGGACCUGUUAAUUGUUAAUAUAUCUGUUUUUUUUUUUUCCUGAAUGGCAAUUACCAAAUUAUUAUGCUAGAUUAUUUCUCUUAAUUUAGGCUAUGGAACUGAGGUUGUAUUCUGCAAAUUCACUUCUUCACAAGUUGACAUGCCUGUUAUUCGAUCUGAGCAAGGUGCAGGAAUGAUCAAUUGCAAUAUACUGCAGGAGAACUGCAGACGGGAUGCAUGAUGAAAUUUAUUGGUCCAAACUUCUACUGAAUUUUGAAGGGGAGUUUAAUAAGAAGGCUUUGGUAAUCUUCUGGUGACCAGUUUGGGUCAUAAGAGUUUUUCCCAAUGGUUAUUGAGUUCCUUCUCUGAGAAGUGGAUGUUGAUGACGUAUUGGAAUAUGUCUCUUGCUGCUAACAGAAGAGGCAACAAGCAAGUCAAUCUCUCUAUGCUUCGAGGCUUGCUAGUAGACCGUUGGUGGAUAAGUGAGACUCGUAACGUUCAACCUUUUCCAUGCAAGUGGUGUUAACAGACUUGAACCGGAAAAGAAAUAAGAAGACAAAGGAAAAAAAAAGAAGGCAUAUCAUGAUCUGGAUAAUGCUUUAAUAAAUCACCAGAAAUAAGUUGUAAAGAUGACCAGAUCUAGUUUCCCUUAUUUCUUCUGCUGAAAGCAUUUUUAAGAAUUUGAAAGAGAGACUUCUAAUUGAUGGUGAAUUGCUUAUUCUCGGUAA